rnacentral:rRNA from 1 species
GAACGCUGGCGGCAUGCCUUACUAUGCAAGUCGAACGGCAGCACGGGAGCAAUCCUGGUGGCGAGUGGCGAACGGGUGAGUAAUAUAUCGGAACGUGCCCAGUCGUGGGGGAUAACGUAGCGAAAGCUACGCUAAUACCGCAUACGAUCUACGGAUGAAAGCGGGGGACCUGUAAGGGCCUCGCGCGAUUGGAGCGGCCGAUAUCAGAUUAGGUUGUUGGUGAGGUAAAAGCUCACCAAGCCUGCGAUCUGUAGCUGGUCUGAGAGGACGACCAGCCACACUGGAACUGAGACACGGUCCAGACUCCUACGGGAGGCAGCAGUGGGGAAUUUUGGACAAUGGACGAAAGUCUGAUCCAGCAAUGCCGCGUGCAGGACGAAGGC